UACGGAGGGUGCCAGCGUUGUCCGGAUUUAUUGGGUUUAAAGGGUGCGUAGGCGGUCCUUUAAGUCAGUGGUGAAAGCCAACAGCUCAACUGUUGAACUGCCAUUGAUACUGGAGGACUUGAGUACAGACGAGGUAGGCGGAAUUGACGGUGUAGCGGUGAAAUGCAUAGAUAUCGUCAAGAACACCGAUUGCGAAGGCAGCUUACUAGACUGUAACUGACGCUGAGGCACGAAAGUGUGGGGAUCAAACAGG
rnacentral:rRNA from 1 species